rnacentral:rRNA from 1 species
CCUACGGGUGGCAGCAGUGGGGAAUAUUGGACAAUGGGGGGAACCCUGAUCCAGCCAUGCCGCGUGUGUGAAGAAGGCCCUCGGGUUGUAAAGCACUUUCAGUGAGGAAGAACGCCUGGUGGUUAAUACCCAUCAGGAAAGACAUCACUCACAGAAGAAGCACCGGCUAACUCCGUGCCAGCAGCCGCGGUAAUACGGAGGGUGCGAGCGUUAAUCGGAAUUACUGGGCGUAAAGCGCGCGUAGGUGGCUUGAUAAGCCGGUUGUGAAAGCCCCGGGCUCAACCUGGGAACGGCAUCCGGAACUGUCAAGCUAGAGUGCAGGAGAGGAAGGUAGAAUUCCCGGUGUAGCGGUGAAAUGCGUAGAGAUCGGGAGGAAUACCAGUGGCGAAGGCGGCCUUCUGGACUGACACUGACACUGAGGUGCGAAAGCGUGGGUAGCAAACAGGAUUAGAUACCCUUGUGGUC